GAUGAACGCUGGCGGCGUGACUAAUACAUGCAAGUCGAGCGAACGGACGAGAAGCUUGCUUUUCUGAUGUUAGCGGCGGACGGGUGAGUAACACGUGGAUAACCUACCUAUAAGACUGGGAUAACUUCGGGAAACCGGAGCUAAUACCGGAUAAUAUUUUGAACCGCAUGGUUCAAAAGUGAAAGACGGUCUUGCUGUCACUUAUAGAUGGAUCCGCGCUGCAUUAGCUAGUUGGUAAGGUAACGGCUUACCAAGGCAACGAUGCAUAGCCGACCUGAGAGGGGGGUAGGCGACCUGGGAACGUAGCCACGCACCAGACUCCUACGGGAGGCACCAGAAGGGAACCUGCCGCAACGGUGGAAAGCCUUACGGAGCAGGGCGGCGUGAGUGAUGACGGCCUUCGGAGCGGAAAACUCGGUUAUGAGUGAAGAACAUAUGUGUAAGGAACUGUACACAGCUUGACGGUACUUAAUCAGAAAGCCACGGAUAACUACGUG
rnacentral:rRNA from 1 species